AGGGGAAAUGUAAACAUGCCUACGCACAGCAGGCUGGUGGCAGCGGGCAGGAAGCCAAGGUAAAGAUAAUUGCUGAGCUUUUACUGUGAAACAGCUUCCCGCUUCAGCACUGAGCACGUUCUGAUCAGCCCCGCCAGCUCGUUUGGGCAAACCUGGUAAAGCCCAUUGGGAAAGGGAGCACGUUUCAUGGGCUGUGCUCCUGACUCGGCUCAUGUGAUUUGUGCUGCUGGUUUCCCUAAGAGCAUGGCUUAGUCCUGGCAUCCCCUUGGCUCCCAGGAGACGCGCACAGGUCCAAGGGAGAAAAAUCUUCCAGGCUCCAGUUCAGGGAACUCCCAGAGCCUCUGUGAGAGAUGAGUGGAGCGGAUCCUCCAGACACAUCCCAGCCUGCAGCACUGGAGACAGGACGUGUACACUGAUGGAUGAGGAUACAGACAUCCUUGUGUUUGAGGAGCCCAGCUGGUGUAUCCUGAUAUGCCAGGAACCAGAAAUCUUCCAUCCAGCCUCAGAUGUGAAGAGGAGGACUUCUACAUUAAAAAAAAAAAAAAAAGGGUCCAGAAUUUUCUUUUUUUUUUUUUGUUGCUUCCUGACAUUUCUUGCCCUUAGCUGCUUCAUAAACCUUGUUCCAUGUAUCUUCUCCCUGGCAGAGGUAUCUCCCAACAGCUCCUCCACUGAAGGUCUGUGGGUUAGCCUCAGGCUGCUCUAGAAGUGUUUUGCUGGCCCAAGAGCAGGGGCAUAUGGGAGCCAGUCUUGAUUAAGGCAACACAGUCAUGAGCAUACUUUGAAGCCUUGGGUGAAGAACAAAACCCUUGAGAUUAAAUGGAUUUACUCUGCAAGACAUUGUGUUCCACUUAUCACCAAAUUACUUCAGUCUGCAGAGUGUGAGAGCAAUGCAGAGUGGAAGACACACAGUUUGUCACCUCAUGGUCCUGAAGAAUGGAGCCCUGUGUGACAAAGAGAAGAAAAUUUUGAAAGUUUUUUUGAACUGUCUUUGAGGUUUUGCCACUUGAAAUUGCUUUGAACUUCCUUCCCCAGGACUCACAAAUUGGCACCAUAUAAAAAAGAGGACUGUUAUACUGAGAGGAAAAUACAGAUAAACUGGAAAACCACUGCUGGUUGAAGUGUAAAGCAGGAGGAACUGAGAUGCACUUUGGUGAGGCAUUCAAAUAUUCUGAGAUCAGACUAAAAAACAACAGGAUAGGCUGAAAAAGGCGAACUUUUUUUUUCUCCUCUCCUUACGUAACAGAUACAGCAAUAGCAGAAACAAGAACAGUCAUAUUAACACUUCUGUGCUUCUUUUAUUUACUUGCUUGUUUCUAAGUCUUCAGGGAGCUGAGGAUAUUAUUUUCAGCUAUCCUCUACAACAACCAGAGUUCAAGCAUAAAGACAUGAAAGCUUAAACUGUUUCUCCAUUGCUUGUUUUAGGUCUAAAAGAGUAUCUGUGAGCUGUAUUACUCACUUUUGAGAUCUGGUAGGAGAGCAUCUGCCAUAUGAGAGCACCUGUACUUGCUCAUUUUUCAGACAGUGUUGGGCCAAAACCUUGUCAUUUUGGUGACAAUGAGACAGUUUGUGAAUGUACUUUAAUUCUGUAAAAUGCUUCAUUCUGACCCCUGCAGCUUUUAAUUUAAAGAUUUGUAUUUUCAUUCUUUUUAAUGAAUUUGGUUUUAGAAUUGCCUUGAGUUUCAAAAUGUGAAUUACAAAAAACUGAUUUGGUUUCAUCUGAAUUCUUUCUUUAAGGAUCUGUCCACACCAGCUGUGGUUGCUUUUGGAUACUUAAUACCUCACCAUAGCCUUCCUGCAUGCAGACCCCAUUCCAGAAAUAAAUGCCAAGGGAAUGUAGGAGACACAAUUCCAAUAUAUGACUAGUUCAUGACUCAGAGCAGAACUCUUUUAUAAGCUUCAGAUUAAAAACAGGCGUAGACCUCAGCAAAGAAGAAAAUGAGAAGGAGCAAAGAGAGGCAACAUGAUGGCACGCCCCUGUAAAACAGAACAGAUGGACAGAAAUCAUCUUGAGGAAGCUGAGCCUGGUGGCAUUUGUGAAAGAGCAAGAGGAACCUGAAAUAGUGUUUUUAAUAUUUAUGUUUAUUGUGCUCUGGGUGUGGGGCUUCCCCACCCCCAGAUAAGAGGGAGGGAGGCUGGGACGGUGUGCACACACCAGGAGUGGCAGCACUUCCUUGCGGCUCCCCUUUGCCACCUGGGCGGGCACAGGAUCCACAUCUGCCUGGCACAGUCCAGCAUGUGAGUACUGCCAUCAGUAGCUCCUGCAGUUGUGGAGGUGAACAACAGUGGGAACUGAAACUCCAGGGAAAACAACUGGUGUCAAGAGCAGGUGUUGUGGCAAAGCCAGGGUGCCCACGGCCUCCAGGGAGCUGGGGACAGGUGGGAUGGGAAGGACGAUGGCUGCUGUGCUGAGUGCCCUGAUGAGAGGCUGACCCUCUUAGCAUUUGUCCUCUUACACCAUUUCCAUGGGUUUUGUGCUGCAGCUCUCAGAUGCCAACCCCACCGUGUCCAGGUCCUCAUCCCUGCUCCCAGAGAGAACUCAUGGAGAGGUAAAUCCUCCAGGGAUGGGCUGAGGGGGGUGAUGGCUUUCUAAACCAAGUUUUGUGCGGUUUAGGUGAAUGUGAAGAGGACUUGGAUAGCAACUUGGGUGGAUCAUACUUCCGAAGGCAACCUUGAAUAUCUGCAUAUGUUCCCUUUGCUUCUCCUUGCUCAUCUUAGACUUAUCCCAGUCUUCCAGUUGCUCAGCAAGCAGCACUGAAGAGGCAGCUACAGCUAUGCUCACUGUUAACCACAGGGGUAACUGAAUUUACUGGUUAAAUAUACCAUGGUUGAAUAUAGCUUUGUUGGUAAGGUUAGAGUCACUAAAAUAUUUUUAAGACUGUUUUUUUAAUAAAACAUUUACCUUAAGCAGAUGAGCAUUAGAUAAACAUUAGACAACAAAAGACCACAAGGGAGACUAAUAAUUUAAAUGCUUUUACACUUGAAUGUGUUUAAAAAAUCUCUUCCCUGGUAUAAAACCAACUUAAAAGUAGAGGACCUGAGAAGAUCAGACAAGAAAAUGAAAUCACAACUGAUUGUAAAGAAAUAUUGUCAAAGGUAACAAAGAGGUAUAUAAUUCAUGUGAUUUGGUUUGGCCCAAGUUUUAUGCACUGAAAUGUUUAGAUGUUCAAAAUUAAUUACAUUUAUGUUGUACCAAUUAUAUAGAAGUAAUGUUUGAGAUAUCAUUAAAUUGAUGUCUGUAAACCACAGGAAAAGAUAUGUGAUCUACCUAAAAGAUUAUCCUCCUUUUAAAUUAUGAAUAUGGGGGUAGGGAAAUCUCCAUAACAGGAAAAAAUAGUUACACAUUUCCUCCCCAUUCAAAUGCCAGGUUAACGAGAAGAAAAAGAAAUAUGCUGAUAAGGCAUUGAUUUCAGAGGUCUGUGACAGGACCCCAUCUGGCAGAGUUGGCACAAGGAUGUGCUGUCAUUUUGUCAUAACAGAGAGCAUUCAAAAGCCACACAGAGAUGGUUUCACAUUUGGAAAUGCACAAACUCCAUCAGAUUUCAAGGCUGUCCAGGAUAACACAGGAUGCAUUCUUUAGUCUGGCUCUCAGCCCAGCUACGCAGCAAGAGGCUCUACUCUUCCCUCGGUGCCCUUUGGGAAACAUCUUUUAAUCUCUGUUAAAGCCUGCUCCUGGCUCCUUUUGGCUGUCUACAUUCCUGCUGCAAAAUACCCAUUCGCUCUCUCACUCCCACUCCUCCCAUCCCCUCCUGCUCCUCACACUCCACAUUUCUCUUUGGUGAGGCUCAGGGGCAGAACCUCUCUCCCCAUACCCCCCAAAGCAGGGUUUCACAACCACCACCACAAGGCAAACAGGCAAUGCCUUGCCCUGCUUCUGCCAGGGCAGGGAACAAAAAAUUUUAUUCAAUCACUGACAAGAAAGUGAUGAGCCAUGGAGAAAAUGUAGACCGGGUGGACACCUCCUGCUGGGGUCCCUCCCCCGCCGUGUAGCCCUGGCAGAGGGGCCCUGAGGGCACAGA